GUUGCCCCUAGAGGCAUUGCACGGAUGGCUCCUUUCCUGAGUUACUGUGUCACAUGCAUAUUAAUAGAGGCCAUAGAGGAGAGAGCCUAUGUGUAUGCUCAGUGUUCUGACCUAUGAGCAUCUGGAUGAUUAGUAGCCUAACAUU
ensembl:snoRNA LOC120093993 small nucleolar RNA SNORA17